UUUUUUUUUUUUUUCUUUUUUUCUAUCUCUUUUUAUACACAUUAAGAAUAAACGGUAAUUAUAAGUUGUAAUUACCCAGCCAACAGAGAAGUUAUAGAACUCACCGCUUCGCCGCAUCACACCUACGUUGGCUGACUUUUCAAUAAGCAGCCAUUGUAGAAGCAAAACGCAAUACGAACGACCGUUCUCGAAGGUACGCAGAUCAGCUGUUUCUCAAAAGAGUCCGAAAUCAACAAGCCAAUUGCGAAUACGCAGCCAUUAGGUAUGCGCUAAUAUUUUUGUUUUGAUUUAUUUGCUGAUUGGAAAGAUUAAGAAAUUAUUAGAUACACACAAUACACAUGUUCCUUCUCAAAUUUCCUUUUUAUAUAAUAAAAAAAAUUCACUUUCUACACGGGUACACCAAACAAUUAGCCUACACUCUAUGCAUUUUUCUUAUUGACCAAUUUGAAAACACAAUUACAUGCCGCUACAACUUCAGUAUCAUAAUUUAAACGAUAACGGGGAUUCGCACAAUGCUACACGGAGUACGCAGGAUGCAGCGGAAAUUAUGCUAAAAAAGACAUGAAUUCAUAUCAAAUGGACUAAAAAAAAAAUUAGAGAAAAGAGAUUUUUCCUUUUUUUUUUUUCUUUUUCCAGUUACGUUACUCUUAAUCGGAUAACAUUACCAUUUGCAACUGUACUACAGUUCAAUGUACUAUUAAUUAUUCUCAAAACAGUCAAUACUCUGCACUCAAGCCCAAACAGACACUCUAGAGGAGUCUUACUCGACCUUGACAUGGAAUACGUCAGCCCUCUCCUCCUCCUUCACCUUGGGCACAACAACCUUCAACACACCAUUCUUCAUCUCAGCCUUGAUCUGAUCAGUUCUGUAGAUUUUCUCUGGCAGAUCAAUCCUACUGGUGUACCUCCUGCCGCUAUCUUCCUCAUCCGAUUCGUUCGCUCCCUCGCCUUUGAUAACGAGAGUGUUCUGUUCCAAAGAGACCUUCACAUCCUCCUUGUCGAGCCCAGGCAUGUCAAUGCGGAAAUUAAGAGCGUCAUCGGUCUCACGAACGUCCCAGCCUCUGCGUGGUCCAGCUCCUAAGCCUCGGGAGGUAGAGAGGAAAGGGUUGUCCAUGAAUUGGUCCAUCAUGUUUAGUACCUGGCUCAGGCUGCGACUUGGCCAUAAUGGAUCCACCACGUCUGGCAUACAUCAUAAAACGUAAAUAAAAACAUUAACUUACGCCCAACUAUGGCCUCCUAUGAGUAUGAUCACGGAAUUAAAGUCUCCUACUAAGAGCUUAGGAAAAUGAGAGGGUUAAACUCAAGUAAGCUUAGUUAACAUGGUAUUAGCCUAUUAGCACUCUGUUUGGCUGGAGAGAAAGCUGAAGAAAAAAAGUUGUUCGAACUUCAUGAUAAUACUUUUAAUUUUUUUAUUCUGUGCGUGGAAAAACGAAAGGCUAGAAAGAAAAGCAAAUACGCUCAAAUAACAUGAGAAGGGCCGAAAAAACGACUACCUGAGAAGAAAUCAUCUCGACGGCGGGACAGGUUGCGACCAGAGCGGCGAUCAACUUCAAUGCCACGUUCGUCUUCAUCAUCGUCAAAACGGCGGACAGCGUCGGUGUUGAAGAGUCGAGAAGCUGAUGCUGACGGUCGAAUAAAGCGCAGAUAGGUAGGGACAAGGUUUGAAGAAACGAGCCUCUUAAGAGCCAGUGAGGAAGCCAUUGCUUGGAGAAUGGUAAAUAGAAGCACAGAGCACUGAUCUUCUCGUAGAGACGGUGAACUCGGUUGGAGAAGAAAGACGAGAGAGGCUCUUUUUCAUAUACUGGAGAUAGGAAGGUACUAGACUAGACUGGAUUGGGGAGAAAGAAAGAAGAUUCUGGAAACAACGUUUUUGUCAUUCGAUGGUUCUCGAAAGACAGCUCAUCGAGCAGAUAUUUCAUUAUUUCUCCUGUUAAC
rnacentral:misc_RNA from 1 species